GUAUUAAACAAUAGAUCAGAUCUAUUACCUUAUAAGAUAGACAUUCUAACCUUGCUGAUCUGGACUUGAGGAUGAUGUUUCAAACCGCACAUGCAUUCGGUCUCUAGGAGUCGUCCACACGAUCCCACAAAUCUCGAUCAAAAGUCCUGUUUCAGGAAAUCAGCACAGUAUGCUAGUACUGCGAUGAUCCUUCUUCGAUGGUUGAUCAGGUGCCUCUUUCAUCUUGAUUUAGGUUUUUCUAAAGAUGAGAAGUAGGAGGAGGAGUUUUAGAUCUGAGAUGCUCUCAGAAAACUCAAGAUGG
rnacentral:lncRNA from 1 species